ensembl:lncRNA
UUUUACAAGCUUGUGGACAUGUGGUGGUAUGUCCUCACCUGCUGUGUCACUGCAGUAACACCUGCUGCCUUUCAGUAACAGCAGAAACAUCUGACCUUCAAUAGCAGAGCUUUCCCAGCACCAUCUACUAGGUCCUUGGACCACUUGUUGGUUAAAGAGUAUUUCUCUGGACUCCAGCCCUAAAACCAUCCUUUGUGUGUAAGGAGGACAGAAUACCAUGCCAAGCCUGAAAAAAAAAGAGUCCUCUUCCAGUCUCAGCCCCCCUGCAUAGCUGUAUUUCUAUAAUGCAUAUGAAACAAGCCCUCCUUUGAAGGCUUAAAAAGGAGGGCUGAAGUAGCAGGGAGUUUGUGCGCUGCCAUCAUGCUACUGCUGCUUGUGCUUUUGGAAGGCCGCUUUGUAACCCAGGCGUGUUAGAGGCUGGAGAAGAGCAAGUCUGCCGGAGACGCCCCGGAGGAGCGUUCCCGGACCAGCGCGGCGAAGCGGCCUGAGCAGAACGCUGAGAGGGCAGCGACCAGCUCGAACGGCCAGUACGGCACGGCGAGGAACACUGCUAUAUGGAACGAAACGGAGGGAGCCUAUGGGAUCUAAGGAGGUAAGGCGAAGCCGGUGAGUUGAGCCGUUAACAUUCAUGCUAGUUGGUAUGACGGAACAGAUAUUUAAUACUGGAAAAGCUUUUUAUGAAGUAUAAAAAGAAAAUACGAAACAAAAAAAAAGGGAAGUUAAGCCAGUACUUCCACAACGGUGUGGAAAAGGGCCCUCUCUAGCUGCGAGUGGUGCACAGCGACAGGGGCUGUCACACGGCCGCUCACAAGUGAGUCAUCUGUGUCAACGCAGCUGCUGGCGGUGGGCAGGACAGGCGCUGAAUUUCCCAUGCAGCAUCGCUACCUCGCUGCUUUACUUCACGCGCAGCCUCUUCCCUACCCCCGUUCCCGAGAGCCAGCAGAACAGCUCCGGGAUGGAGGAGCCCCAGCCGGGCACUCGGGGGUGGCCGGAGCAAAUGCUGAAGUGUCAUCCUGCCACGGGCUCGCUGCUGCUGCCUGCGCACAGAGCCUGGGACAGCGCGUCCGGCAGCAGGGGCCGCGUCCCGGCCCCUCACCCGCACGGGGACCUCGGGGGCGCUUCCUGCGGAGCCUGGGGGCAUCUUCUCCUGGGGGCUUCUCCCUGCAUCGCCUGGAGGGGCUGCGUCACUGGUGAGUAACAGCUGCAGCCUCGCUGCCUGUCUCUGUGUCAGGUGCAGGUGGUGCCGACCCCGCACGACGGCCUCGCACCUCCUUUCUGCGCUCGGAGACGGAAGCGGGAGAGCGGCGCCGCAGAGAGGGAGGCUUCCUCCACCCCUGACGCAAGGCGCCCGGCUCCCUGCUCGCAGCAGGACGACUGCGCUCGCCUCGCCUCGCCUCCCUCCUGCCCUGCGCGCGCCCCGCUCCGGGCUGGGGCCGAGCUGCCUGCGCCCGCCGGGCUCUGGGCCUCCUUGGGAGCCGAGCUGGGAGCGCAGCGCCCGCUCGUGCCAGCGCAGCUCCGGCUCCUUGCAGCUUGGGCGACUGCCCAGGUCGUAAAUCAAUCACUGUCAUAACUUGCAUAUGAGUAUCAUGUUCCAUAUUGCAUCCAUAGAGCAUCAUUAGUUUAUUAACAGUAUGUACAU